rnacentral:sRNA from 1 species
UAUAUAACUUGGUUUUCAGAGUUGUGGUUAAAUAAGGAUAAAUGGCUGGGCAUAGCAAUGUGUUGUAUUUAUAGUCUUUUUUUAUAUUUAAUAUCCUAUAUGCUGCUAAGAGCAGUCACCCUUAAUAUACAGUUAAAGUUGUUCAACUUUUAUGUCUCAGUUACAAACUGUCUGUAAAAAAAUUCUUUUUUUGAGAAUUAUUAGUAUAAAACAGCCAUGUACUUUGGACAAAGAUAAAUACUUGCAGAUUCUUAAAGUAAAACCUUUACAGUAAUUUGGUAUGGAUUUUUAAAAGACUAGAAACUUAAAAAUGUGUUAAAACCAAGAUAAAAUUUUUCCCUUUAUUUUUAUUUUAAAGAAGGUGAGGGAAAUGGUAAAUAAUUUCAAAUUUUAUAGGCCGCAAAAGAUAAGUACCGUGAAUUGGCCGUGGAAGGGAUGCACAGAGAACUUGUGUUCCGGUUUAUUGAAGUUCAGACACUUCUCCUCGCUCCAUUCUGUCCACAUUUGUGUGAGCACAUCUGGACACUCCUGGGAAAGCCUGACUCAAUUAUGAAUGCUUCAUGGCCUGUGGCA